rnacentral:rRNA from 1 species
AACGAACGCUGGCGGCAUGCCUAACACAUGCAAGUCGAACGAGACCUUCGGGUCUAGUGGCGCACGGGUGCGUAACGCGUGGGAACCUGCCCUUAGGUUCGGAAUAACUCCCCGAAAGGGGUGCUAAUACCGGAUAAUGUCUUCGGACCAAAGAUUUAUCGCCUUUGGAUGGGCCCGCGUUGGAUUAGCUAGUUGGUAGGGUAAAAGCCUACCAAGGCGACGAUCCAUAGCUGGUCUGAGAGGAUGAUUAGCCACACUGGGACUGAGACACGGCCCAGACUCCUACGGGAAGCAGCAGUGGGGAAUAUUGGACAAUGGGCGAAAGCCUGAUCCAGCAAUGCCGCGUGAGUGAUGAAGGCCUUAGGGUUGUAAAGCUCUUUUACCCGGGAUGAUAAUGACAGUACCGGGAGAAUAAGCUCCGGCUAACUCCGUG